UCAGCCGAAACAUAUUAUUAAAUCUAGGCUGAAAUCCGGACAGAAACCAUUCAGUAGUCUGAAUCAGCUUUCGUAUGGCUGACAUGGGUUUAAUUUAGUAUACUAGUAUAUAUACGUUUACUUGAUUUUAUUUGCGAAGGCGAACCCAAUUCAAUUUUGAGUCGAGAAUCGUAUAUGAUCCCAGUCAUAGGAAAAAGGAAAAAAAAUUAAAACUUAAAAUAGUAUAUAAAAUACAACAAUCAUGAUUCAUAGUCGGUUUACGAAGGAGAAUUAGUAACUUCGUAGUUGUUUUUUUUGGAAUUGAUUAUCAGAUAAGUAUAUUAUAUUAUUGGAAAUAAGCUGUUUUCUUUGUGUAUAUUUUCAGCAACUACAUUGACAGAACCAUACUGGAUUGAUGCUAUAUUUUCUAAUCUUCAGCAUAAUGGGGUAUAUCAGCGCAGUAGUUCGAUAAAAAACCAGUGCUUGGUUAUUGAUUUAAGAGUUCACUCUACAUAAGUGUUGUCAAAACACCGACACCAUGUUCCAUUGAUUGGAACUGCAAUAAAAAAGUGCAAUUUCGGGGCAGAGAUUUGGCACCGAAAAAUUUGUCGGUGGAGCCAGUGCACUCACCAACACAGACCAACACCAAUCACGCAAACGUCAAAGCAACGUUCAAAAUGGAUGCCAAAACAAAUCGGUUAUCGCAGAAAACGACAGGGAUAGUACCCUUCUGCCGGAAUCGCAUUUGGUACUCAAUGGUUUACCAGCUUUCGACUUCAAUUCUGUCGACUAGAGGUAUGCGUUUUAUUGAUUAGUAGCUCCCAUUUUCCCGGGCGCGAUCUCGAUGGGUCCCGCCGAGGUGGCAGAAAACAGUAACGAACUGAUCCAUACGUAGGAGUAAAAUGUUCCAAAGGUGGCCUGGAAUUCUACUGGGCUGGAAUUUCCCCAAAAAGCGGUUCCGAAGCGGCGAUCAUCUCCAGAGCCACCAUCACUUCCACGUAAAGAAGCAAUUCAGUGUGAACCAUAAAAGGGAACCGUCGAACAACAGACGAAACCGUUGCCCGUUAUCACUAUCAACGAAAAGGAUUACCAGGUUCUGUAAAAGCUCGGUUCCGGUGGAUCCAGUUCAGUGUUUUCGGCCAAACAAAUGAGGAAUGGCGUUGAAUGUGCGUUGAAGUUGGUGGAUUUCGAAGGCGAUUCUAGCAUAGUAGAAGGCUACUUAAACAAAACGAAACAUAGCGAAAUUGCAAGGGAAUGAAAACGUAGUAGCGCUGUAUGACUAUUGUCAUGUUGCGGAGUCUAGCCAACUUUACCUGGUAAUGGAAAAGGGUGAUAAUGAUCUGCACAAAAUCCUGCAAAGCUACCGCAAGGAUAUCCCGCUGUACAUGCUUAUGCAAAUUUGGUACCAGAUAGUACAGUGUGUGCACUACAUUCACGAGCAAGGUGUCAUCUAUCUGGAUCUCAAACCGGCCAACUUUCUUAUGGUAAACUGAUUGACUUUGGCAUCGCCAGCAAUAUCUCCUUCGACUCCACCAGUAUUAUGAAGUUUUGCCAAGCGGGCACAUUCAACUACAUCAGCCCGGAAACUUUGACACUUCCGCGGAGAACGGUUCAGCCAACUCCCAGCCCAAGAUCCGCAAGUCAAAAUGCUGCAGCGAUGUCUCAAGUACGAUCGAAAGACGAGAGCUCCGACGGCGGAUUUGCUUGACUACCCGUUUGACAUGGUGAUUGGGAAAUAAAGAUGCUGUAGCAACUUUACAUAUGUUCAUAUUUCUCUGUCUUAAAGAACAGAA